GGGGAUUUAGCUCAGUGGUCCUGCACCUGCCUGGCAAGCACAAGGUCCUGGGUUCGAUCCCCAGUACCCCCC
rnacentral:tRNA from 1 species